UAAUUGCCUGAAUAAACUUGAAAUACCCGCUUAAUUUAAGCAUAUUAAUCAGCGAAGGAAAAGAAAAUAAUAAUAAUUUCCCCAGUAACGGCGAGUGAAAAGGAACCAGCUUUCCUCCCAAGGUGGCGUUUGCAAGAAUGCCGACCAAUUUGGAGUAUAUAGCUAGGCGGGCCGUAGCGCUAAACUCUUAGGGGUAAGGGUAAAUCAGAGAAGGAGAUUUGCCGGGUAAGCCCUGCAGCCCGUCUAGCGCCAAACGCAAGUAAGAAUAUUUGAAAGUAUAUUCUGAAGCUUGGGGUAAAUCCCCCACAAAGCUAAAUAAUGGCUAUAAUACCGAUAGCAAACAAGUACCGUGAGGGAAAUUUGAAAAGAACUUUGAAGAGAGAGUUAAAAGUGCGUGAAACUUUUAGCUAGUAAACGGUUGCUAGUAAUUCUGAAAGCACGGGCAAGACGUCUGGACCCUUAAAAGUUUAGAAAUCUCCAGCCCAGUAAUCACGCGGCGGCAGUUAGGCGCGUGAAGUAAGAAAUGAAAGUAACCGACCCGUCUUGAAACACGGACCAAGGAGUCUUGCAAAUGAAUGCUUUGCAACAUGGAAUGCAAGAAAGCGAGUGAAGGCGAAAAGUUGUAACCCGUAGGGGGUUAAAAUUGUUACUUCAUAAUAAUUGUAAAUUAUUUGGGGUAAACAAUGGUUAUUUGCAAGGACCCGAAAGAUGGUGAACUAUGCCUGUUCAGAAGGAAUCCAGGUGAAAGCCUGGUGAAAGUUCUUAGCGGUUCUGACGUGCAAAUCGAUCGUCAGAAAUGGGCAUAGGGGCGAAAGACUAAUCGAACCAUCUAGUAGCUGGUUCCACUUGAAGUUUCCCUUAGGAUAGCUGAUCAUAAUAUAUAGGAGUUUAAUCCGGUAAAGCGAAUGAUUAGACGUCUUAGAGACAUAAUGUUUUUAACUUAUUCUCAAACUUUAAAUGGGUUAGAUGUCAAUGUUGCUAACUUGAACAUUGCGCGCAAGAAUCAUUUGAUCAAGUGGGCCAUUUUUGGUAAGCAGAACUGGCGCUGUGGGAUGAACCAAAAGCUAGUUUAAAGUAUCAAAGUAAUAGCAAAUCAGAUCCCACGAAAGGUGUUAAUUGCUCACGACAGCAGGACGGUGGCCAUGGAAGUCGGAAUCCGCUAAGGAAUGUGUAACAACCCACCUGCCGAAGCAAUUAGCCCUGAAAAUGGAUGACGCUUUAGCUAUUCCAGAACUUAAAACUAGCUUCUAGGCUAAAUUAUCUAGCCCUAGAAAGUAAAGUGGUGAUUUGACCGCAGCCAAAGAAAGAUGAGAAUCUUUCACAAGCGGUCAAGUGUACAGAUCUUGGUGGCAGUAGCAAAUAUUCCAAUGGGGUCUUGGAAGGCCGAAGUGGAGAAGGUUUUCGUGUGAACAGUUUUUGACCACGAGUGAGGCGGUCCUAAAUAAAAAAGGAAACUUGUACAAAUUUAUGAAAGGGAAAUAGGUUUAAAUUCCUAUUCCAUAAGCGCUAGAAUUUACUCUGUAAACCUGGUAACAGGGAUUUUCAUUCGGACACAAAGCUAAACUUUAAAGAGAAUUUUCUCUUCUGAUUAAGCUGUGUAAUCCUUUAAAUAGCAUUGAGCUGAGACAAGGAUCAGCAACAGCGCAGAGCAACACAGAUCUUGCGUUGUUUAAAGCUUUAGCCUUGUCCUUGAAAACGAAUGAAAAAUGUAUAUCUAGCCUAUGGCCGUACCCAUAUCCGCAGCAGGUCUCCAAGGUGAAAAACCUCUGGCUAAUAGAAUAAUGUAGGUAAGGGAAGUCGGCAAAUAAGCUCUGUAACUUUGGGAGAAGGAAUGGCUCUGAAAGUUGAGGUAUUUGGGCUUAAUAAUGGAAGCCACUAUAGCAAAAGUUUGUUGAAAGCAUUCGCCUGAAAUGAACCAAGCUCUGGUUGUGAAAAUUAUUUAGCUUUAUGGUUGGAUCAUGUCCAGCCAUUCAAAUCACCGCUUAUCAACUCAUUCAGAACUGGCACAGAUUAGGGGAACCCGACUGUUUAAUUAAAACAAAGCAUUGAGAAAGUCUGAAAAGAUAUUGACUCAAUGUGAUUUCUGCCCAGUGCUCAGAAUGUCAAUUUGAAGAGGUUCAAAUAAGCGCGGGUAAACGGCGGGAGUAACUAUGACUCUCUUAAGGUAGCCAAAUGCCUCGUCAGAUAACUACUGACGCGCAUGAAGGGAUUAACGAGGUUCCUACUGUCCCUAUCUACUAUCUAGCGAAACCGCAGUCAAGGGAACGGACUUGAAAAUAACAGCGGGGAAAGAAGACCCUGUUGAGCUUGACUCUAAUCUCGUAUUGUAGAGAAACAUGUUUGGUGUAGUUUAGGGAGGAGCUUUGGCGCCAAUGAAAAACUCCCACAAAUAUCGUUUCUCUUCUAACUAGAUCAAACGCAUAAUAAAUAGCUUUAAUCGGCUAAUUAGUGUUGUAACAACUGUGCCGCUCAUUGCAGCGGCGCAGAAAGCAAUCAAGGAAAUUGCGAGAUUGGGAGUUUGACUGGGGCGGUACAUCUGUCAAAUAAUAACGCAGGUGUCCUAAGAUCAGCUCCGCGAGGACAGAAACCUCGCUUAGAGUAAAAAGGCAAAAGCUGGUUUGAAAUUGCUUUUCAGUACAAAGCAAUAGGCAGAAAUGUAGGCUUAUCGAUCCUCUUUAAUUUAGGGUUUAAAGAAAGAGGUGACAGAAAAGUUACCACAGGGAUAACUGGCUUGUGGCUGCCAAGCGUUCAUAGCGACGUAGCUUUUUGAUCCUUCGAUGUCGGCUCUUCCUAUCAUUCAGAAGCAAAAUUCUGAUAGUGUCGGAUUGUUCACCCGCCAAUAGGGAACGUGAGCUGGGUUUAGACCGUCGUGAGACAGGUUAGUUUUACCCUACUGUAAACUAAACUAGCAAAGUAAUUUUGUUCAGUACGAGAGGAACCAUAAACUUAGACAAUUGAAACGUGGGCUUAUUUGAGAUAGUAAUGGCCCGAAAUUAUCAUCUGCUGGGUUAAUAGCUGAACGCCUCUAAGCUAGAAACAAACCUUUAAUA
rnacentral:rRNA from 1 species